rnacentral:tRNA from 1 species
GGGGUUGUGGCUCAGUGGUAGAGCACUUGCCUAGCAAAUGCAAGACCCUGGGUUUGAUCCUCAGAACCACA